rnacentral:tRNA from 1 species
GGAGUAGCCAAGUGGUAAGGCACCAGCCUUUGGCGCUGGUAUACGUGGGUUCGAAUCCUACCUCC